UACGUAGGGUGCAAGCGUUGUCCGGAAUUAUUGGGCGUAAAGAGCUCGUAGGCGGUUUGUCGCGUCGGCUGUGAAAUCCCGAGGCUCAACCUCGGGCCUGCAGUCGAUACGGGCAAACUAGAGUGUGGUAGGGGAGACUGGAAUUCCUGGUGUAGCGGUGAAAUGCGCAGAUAUCAGGAGGAACACCGGCGGCGAAGGCGGGUCUCUGGGCCAUAACUGACGCUGAGGAGCGAAAGCGUGGGGAGCAAACAGG
rnacentral:rRNA from 1 species